AUUGAACGCUGGCGGCAUGCUUUACACAUGCAAGUCGAACGGCAGCACGGGCUUCGGCCUGGUGGCGAGUGGCGAACGGGUGGGUAAUAUAUCGGAACGUACCCAGACGUGGGGGAUAACGUAGCGAAAGUUACGCUAAUACCGCAUACGAUCUAUUGUUGACAGCAGGGGACCGCAAGGCCUUGUGCCCCUGGAGCGGCCGAUAUCUGAUUAGCUAGUUGGUGAGGUAAAGGCUCACCAAGGCGACGAUCAGUAGCUGGUCUGAGAGGACGACCAGCCACACUGGAACUGAGACACGGUCCAGACUCCUACGGGAGGCAGCAGUGGGGAAUUUUGGACAAUGGGCGCAAGCCUGAUCCAGCAAUGCCGCGUGAGUGAAGAAGGCCUUCGGGUUGUAAAGCUCUUUUGUCAGGGAAGAAACGGUAGAGGCUAAUAUCCUUUGCUAAUGACGGUACCUGAAGAAUAAGCACCGGCUAACUACGUG
rnacentral:rRNA from 1 species